GUCCCUGGAGAGCAAUGUAUAGUUUUUUGAACUUCUGAUCCAAAGGUCGUGGGUUCGAAUCCCACCUGGGAUA